CAGCAAGCAUAUAUCAUAGAAAAAAAUUAAGACACCAAUAUUUACAUGCUUCGAUGAUCAAGAACGAUCCUCUUACAUCCAUGGGGAGAGCAUCGAUGAAGAUAUCACUAUCAAAAAUAAAAGUACAAUGAGAAGAGACCUUACACCAUCAUCGAUCGUCUUCUUGGAUGAAAUCAGAGGCUUUAUCUUCUUCUCAACAAUUGCUUCAAGCCAAGCCAAGCACCACAAUGCAAAAAAAAAAAAACACUUUAGAUUCUUCUCAACUCAUACCUCUAU
rnacentral:lncRNA from 1 species